GAUUAAGAAUCGGUGAAGGCUUUUUCUUUUUUCUUUUUAAAUCAGAGCGGUAAAGAUUUGAAUAGGGCCGUGUGUCACUAAUAUUACUGUUUUAUAUGGCCCUAUUUUUGGUUUGCCUUUGUUUCAAUGGAUACUUAUUAAUCCUUCCUGAUCAUGUUCAUUGUUGUGAUUUUAUGGCAAUGUAUUUGUCUUUGUUACACUGCUGAAGAGAAGAAACUCUUGAGAAUUUCAAUUUAAUAUUAGUGGAUUCCCAGACAAUUGUAGAAUUGUCAUACGGAAAUAAACCUACAUUCUUCUUCCUUUUGUUUUUAGAACUUAAUUGGAUAACAUCCGUUGGACACCGUCCAUUUUUGCCUUUGUCUACGCUAAUUCCACCGCCGGUUUUAACUCCCCAGAGUGCUGACACAAGAUAAUACCUGUCGCUGGAGUCCACCUCGUUGCCAUAGACAUCUAAGAUAGGUUCAGAUUCUGAGGUGCGCAACUGAGGUUUUGUGGCCAAAGCAAGUAUAAGGAAGGAGAAUGUGGUUACCGGUGAAGCCUUCACCUUUUUUUUUUUUUUUAAUUUUCUUUUUUUUUAAGGAUAGCUGCUGUUUGUUUUGUUGAUCAAUUCGGUAUUCAAGUGUAUAAAUUUAUAGAGAGCUAGGGUUAAUAUGUGAUAAGGUCUUUGUGGUAGCUGCUUGAAUGGUCAUGUAUUAUUGAGUCUUACUUUUUUCCACUUUAAGUUUAGUAAAUUUGUUAAUUUUUUGUUAUAUGGAAAUGUAGUAUGGGCGACACAUACAUAAGUUUGGUUCUCAUAUUAUAGAAGUUUAUGAGCCUAACUCUUACUUAAAAGCUAUUUUGAGAGAAAGUUCCGUCUCAAUGAUUUUAAAAAUAUCUAUAAAAAGAAGAUAUAUUUUGCUUUUAUUGAUUCAUAAGUGCAAAAUGCUCAACUUAUAAAAGAUUCAAAACACAACAAAGGAAAUGAUAAAAUUUGGGAUUGACUUGUAUUGAUUGACAAUCAAUCAUGCAAUUGUUUGCCAGAGAUAUGUUUUAUCUUUUCAUUGAUUCUUUUCAUUUUCCCUCAAGUUGGUGAGGAAAUUUGUAAACUGGGCUUGACUUAAGAUAUUGAAAACCAUUUUUGGUCCAUACUUUCUAGUGUCAUAGAAUAAAUUUAUGAAGUCGUUCCUUAAACCUUACGUAUAGAGGUGGCCAACGGGCUGUGCCGUGCCAGUUCAGGCCCAUCAAAGGAAAGUCCACGCAUGCUCGUACUCGUGCCGUGUCGUGCCCACUAUAUGUUUCGUAUCGUGUCGUGCUGUGUCUAAUUUUUUUUGUUUAGGCCCGGCCCGGCACACGUGCCGUGCCUAGAAAAAAAAGUCCACUAAGCUUUUUUAUUAUUUUUUAUUAUUUUUUUAAGAGCAUAUGCCAAGUUGUUAUCUUAUUUUUUUCAAGUCUUUGUACUUUUUUGAAUCUAUGUGCCUUUAUUCAAUUUUAAUAGAAUAAAAAAUUCAAAACUCAAGUGCAUAUUCAAUAAUAAUAAAUGAAUAAUAAUAAGAGAAUGUAAUAUUAGUUACUAAGUUUGACUCUAUGGUAUUAGAAUUCUUUUUUAGUACUUAACAACAACAAGAAUAAUAAUUUUUUUAAGGGUUAACUUAAUUGUUAACUUGAAAUUACGUAGAGUCAUAUAUCAUAGUUUAUAAUAAUAUUAAUACAUAUUUAUAAAAUCAUGAUAUUUAUAAUUUUAUUUAUUAAAAUCAGGAUAUCAACUAUUUAUUUAAUAAAUUAUAAACAUAAAUCAACUAUAAUUUUUUUGAACUAAGAUUUAAAUAAAUUUAAAAAACUUGAGCUAAUCAAAUAUAAUAAAAGAUUCAAUUUCAAGUUAUUUAUAAAAUCAUAAAAUUGUAAGUUUAUUUUCAUUAAAAAAUAAAAUGUGCUUAUUGCGUGCUUUUUUGUUUAUCGUGCUUUGGCCUAUCUCUAAUCGUGCCGUGCUUUUAAGGUUCACGUGCCUAAAAUUCUAAGCCCAGCCCAGCCCAGCCCAUAUGCGUGUGGUGCCGUGCCGCGUGCUCUACCAAAACGUGCUUGUGCCGUGCAAUACUGUACGGACAUGUGUUGUGCCUUGUGUCAUCCAGUCCAUUGGUCACCUCUACUUACGUACCACUUACUUUUACUAUUUUUAUAGUAUCCAAUAACCACAUUUGCACCAAAAUUUUGAAAGGAAAAGAAAAGCAAGAAAAGCUAAUGGAUUAUUUAUUUUAUAUUUAAUCUUGGGUAUAAAAAAAUGUAUAUUUGUUAUAAGAUUUUUUUUUAAAAAUAACGAAAAUACAAAAAAUGCUUAUUAUUAAUUUUUUUAUUCAUAAAGAAAUGUGAAUUUCUUAUUUUUAGUAUAUAUAUUUUUUAAUUUCAAUUUAUAUGAUUUAUUUAAUUUAUAAUAAAUAUGGAUAAAACUAUAUAUAAAAGUAUAAAACUAAGAGUAGUUCUGUAAUUACGGUGCCAACAAGGUUAUUGGGUAUUAUCAAAAUAAUAGGAGAUAAAUGAUAUAUAUUGAGUUUUUUUUUUUUAUAUAUAAUGGUAUAUAUUGAGUUUAGAAGAAAAAAUGGUAACUUCCCGACUUUAAUCGUAGGGUAGCGUACAAUGAACGGAUGAACGAAUAUAGCUCAAUUAGCGAUUGUCGUGGGGCCAUGCAAGGGUUGUUUGUGCGGAUCACAAAGUAAAUACCGUAGAUGAGAUAACAAAUCAUUUGGCAUCCAUAAACAUUUGACUCAAUAUGUGGUUAAUUAAUUACAGUUUCUUUUCUCUUUUAGUUAAGAGUCCUUGUGAUAAUUAGUUUAAUCAUAUAUUGAUAAGAAAAGUAAAUGUAUAAGGAGGACUGCUCUAGAAUACUCAAAGAUUUUUUCAUGCUUUGUAGAAGAAAUUCAAAUACCAUCGGUUUUUAAAAUACAUCACUUAAGUGCUUUAAAAUUUAAAUUUAUUUCAUUCAAAUAAAUUUCAUAAUAAAAAAAUAGGUGGGGCUAUUUCAAUCCACAAAUUUUUUCUCUACACUCUCUUUUUAGUUAAGAAUUUUAUUAUCUAAGUAAUUUUUGAAAAACUUACGUAAUUAACUCUUUUUUCUCCUUCUCUUAUUAAUUUCACAAAUUCUCAUCAAUUCAUUUAUAUAUAUUUUUUUAGUUGCAAAUAAUUGGUAUCAAUAACUAAGAGAAAUAAAAUCCACUACUUAAAAAUGAACACCAACAAAUUUUAUCAGUUAUAAAAGUUAAUGAAUAUCAAGUAAUUAAUUUUGUUGAUUAAUAUCAUAUUGAUUAGGAUUUGUCUAUUCAAAAUGGAAUGUAUUCCAAUUAUCAUAAGCCAGAGGAUCCAUUAAAUAAAUAACUACUUAUGAGAAUAAUCUUUCAAUCUACAUUGAUCAGACUUUGGCAUGACGACAAUUCGCCAAAAUUAAGGGAUGCUGCCAAAUCUCACAUGAUCAUGUUGUCGUGUUUUUGCUUUCUCUGCAGAAUAGGACUGAAUGAUAAGGCACCGAAAGAUUCUAUGUUACGGAUUUUAAAGGCAUUUCAUCUGGCGUUUCUCAACACAAUCGUUUGCGUAUGAGAGCGACAUUAUGAUGCCCCCACUCUAAACAUAUAAACCAAUAAUUUCAAGUAUGAAUGUAUGAAAUCAUAUAGCGUUUUAUUUUAUUUUAUUUAAGCUGCCUGUGCCUUAUUUUCUUCUUAGCACUGCUAUUUGAAUAGCCACGUGUCAGGGCGAAAGAAAAUAAUAUUAUUGCCUACACUCUAGCAAUUUACAGUGACAGUAUAACACACCAAAACCACGCAUUGUUCAUGAAAAGAAUUCUCGUUUUCGUCGGCCAGCUUGUGUAGAAAAAGUAAAUAUGAGAAUUAAUUGAGAUACUAUAUUCAAACAGAAUUUUACAUUAUAUAUAAAAGUUGUAUCAUGCUCUAAAGGAAUGAAAAUAUAUCUCUUAAUUACAAAGAUAUUUACACAAUUAAAGGCCGCAUCGUUGACUUAAUCAUGUGCAUGAUAUUCUAAUUAGAGCCAUUGAGAUGCAUCAGGUGUAUUGUUUGAGUUAUGUUCAAGCUCAAACUCUCUAUUUGUAUAAUCUCCAAUAUCUGGAAUUCCCCUUAAAAUUGAUUUGGGAAGGAAGAAUUUGUUGACUUGUCAGCUUGAUGUCAUUUUAAUUUUCUUUCUAAUAAAUACUUACAUUGUAACACAUUUUCCAGUAAAACGAUAAAAAAAAACAAGAUACGGGUAAAGUUAAAGAAGUCAAAGGUAGGGGAGGGCAAGGUAGGUGUGUGCAGAAAAAUCAGGGAACCAAAUGAAUCAAACCGAAUUGGCUGUUCGGAUCUGUUUGAAAAUCAGGAAAAAGUCCAUUAGUUUAGUUAAUUAAAUAAAAAACUGACCUAAAAACUGAAUAAUAAGAAAAAAUCAAGAUUUUAAAAGUUAAAAAAUGAAGAAAAAAGGGAACCGAAUCCGAAAUCGUAUGCAUUUCAGUUUGGUUUAGUUAGGAUCAGAAUUUUCAUCAAAUUUAUUCAGUUCAGCUCAGUUCGGCCAAAAAAUAAAAAAAAUCUGAAUCGAACUAUACCCACAAAAGGAAUAGCUCAAGGGAGACAAAUUUGGAAUAACUAAUUACAUAGCCACAUAGAUUUGUAGAAAUAAUCUUGUACAAACUGAAUUAGGAGCUUCAAUAAUAAUGUUAUAUUCACUUAGUAAUGAUAUUUAAUUGUGAUACUCAUUAAUGUGUCACCAAUAAAUUAUUUCCGUAUAUAUGGUAUCCACUAAUUUUAUUUUUAGUUUUGAAUAUAUGAUUUUUUACUACCUAAUUAAUAGAUGACAUAUAAAAUGCCACGUCACUGAAUAUCUCAUCAGAAUAAACAAGAUACUAAUCUUCGAUGAAUAAUCCUCAAAACAUCCACUUGCCAAAAACAUAAUUCAAUUGGAUGAGUGUCUGAGGUUAAUUGUAGAUUAGGUGACAACCAAGAUUGAUCGACUUUAGUUCAAUUGGCGAAUUUCGCGGAAGCAAGCGGGGUUGUUGGCGCAGAUCUGAAACUAAAAACCGUAGAUAAGCUACCUAUUGACUUUUGACUCAAUAUGUAGUUAAUUAAUUAGCAAGAAAUCCCUUAGAUAAUGAUAUAAAUUAUGUCAACUAUAGAGUUGUAUCAGAGAAGCACAGAGUGGAAUUAGAUAAAGAACAAUUUGUUUAUUUCGUGCAAUUCCAUGAGUGAAAUAACUUACAAUUAAGUAAGGAUCGUGGUCCAAUUGAUAUAUGGUAAAAGUUUUAGUUGAUUCCUUGUUGUUUGAAGAAAGAAACUCAAAGAUCAAUUUUAGAAUGUACAACUUAAGUCCUUCAAAUUUUGAAUCUAUUUCAUUCAAGUCCUUCAGUAAUGAAUUUCACCAUUAAAAAAUUGUAAAAACGUUACCAUAAAUAUAGAGUGAUAAUUAUUCCCCCAUACCUCAUAUUUGUGAUUUUAAAGUCCAUUCUACCCUUACUAAAUAAUUUUUUUUUCUUUUUCACCAUGUUAAAAAUCUUAACAGUUUGCUAAAUAAUUACAAUAGAUUUAUAGCCACAAAACUUUAAAUUUUAUCCUAUACUUUUCAUAUGCGAAUUCAACGCAAUAUUCAUGAUAUUUUUAGUUCGUUGGUAGGGAGUUGCCCAGGAAGCCAGUCAAUUAAAUUAAUUAAUUAAAGGACCCUAUCUACUGUUUAGUCUAUUAUACGUGUUAAAAAUCCCAGACCUGAGGAAUCAUCCAUUAUUGAUGAAACCUAAUACUAGCAACGAGAAAAACAUGAUAAAAAGCUGCUGAAAUCUGCACCACAAAAAAAAAAAAAAGUCUUUUUCAUUUUUUUUCUGGAGAAGAUGAAUGACGCGAGUCCCAACUCACAAGGGAUAGCAAUAGUUUGUCAUCAUGCCAAUCGCGAUUAAAUAUCAAUCGUCUAAAAUAAUAGACGAUAGCAAUAGUUUGUCAUCUGCACCACAAAAAAAAAAAGUCUUUUUCAUUUUUUUUCUGGAGAAGAUGAAUGACGCGAGUCCCAACUCACAAGGGAUAGCAAUAGUUUGUCAUCAUGCCAAUCGCGAUUAAAUAUCAAUCGUCUAAAAUAAUAGUGUGGCAAUUUACAUUCUUUGGAUAAUUUUCAUUCUAGUGAAAUUUUAUUUUAUUUAAAAUAACCCUAAUGUUAUCGUUGUAACAAGAUUUUGUCUCUGUUCGCAUUUUUGUAAUGCAUGUUUAUCUUUUUCGACAACAUUUUGUUUAGGUUAGUUAGAUGACUAUUUUAGAUCAUGUUUUUAAUUUGCUCUUAAAACCCAAAUACUCUUAAAACCCAUCCGGCAUAUACGGGUAGAAGAAUUAAUGUCAAAACUUUUCUGCUUCAUUAUCCAAUUUAACCAUUGUAAAGCAAAAUACUUAUAUAGUCGCCAACAACAUAAGCUGGAAGUCAUCAAGCCACACACAUUUUACAGCAAUGCAACUGAAAGGAUAAAAUGGACAGAUUUGAAUAAAAGAUUAACAAAUUGCACCAUUUGUACCUAAAGACAUUAAAUGAAAAAUUGUUCUCGGAAAUUAGUAAAAGCUCUAUUCUAGUCUUCAAGUGGAUGUAGACUGGUUGGUUAGGUGAAUAUCUAUAAAUUCUUGUGUCUUAUCUUCACAGUUAUUUCUUUCGAUUUUCAUUUUAUUUUGUGUGUGAUUAAACUUUGGUUUUUAAGUUUAUUAAACAAUCUUCGACUAGGCUUAGGUCUUGAGGGAAUGGUUUGGUAUUUAUACACCUAAUCAGUCUCAACAAAUAUCGAAGAGGAGUAAAAAAAGAUCUAGCCAUAACAAAAGGGAAAGAAAGAAAAAAGCUAAUAAAAAAAAAGUAAGAAAAAUCUUGGGCAUUAUGACUUUGAGAAUGAUGAAAUAUUUUAUGGAUAUAAAAAUAAAAACAAGUACUUAAAUCGUAUAUGGGUAUUGUUUUGGCAUUUAAAAGGGUGUGAAGAGUAAAAUUUAUUAUUAUUUUAAAAUUUAUUAAAGGGGAUGGAUCAAGGAUCCUUAAAAUUAAAGAGAAAAAAACCUUAAUUUCGUUUGAUGAUUCUGGUCCUUUAAAAAUUGUGUAAGAGAAGUUUAUGCAAGUUUAAAGCAACUUUAACAUAGUUGAGGGAAAUAAAGAGAUGGGAAAAGAAAGAAUUAGGAGGAGAGAUGAUAGAGAAAAGAAAAAAAAAAAAGUAAAGAUGACCAUGAAGAUCGUUGGAGGAGAAAGAAGAUGAUUGAAAAAAAAAACGAAUGAAAUAUUUAGUACAUCUCAUUAAAUCCUCAACUAUAUUCAUUUAUCUGUAAUCUAAAGGAGCACAAAACAGUGCAGUUUCAAGGGAAAUUUGAAUUUUUCCCUUUAUUGAAUGAUGUGAAGAGUAAAAGAAUGUUAAACUAUAUUUUAGAGCAUAAAUAACUCUAUCAUGUAAAAAUUUGUUUAAUUGUUGAUUGCAGAUACUUUUUUAUCUUGAGCUGUAUUUUUCUUGAUAUAUCUCAGAACAAGGAAGAACUUUGUUAAAACUUGACCCUUCCUAGCUUUGAUGCUCUAUGUCAUUUUUUAUGUUUAUAUAUAUAUAUAUAGAGAGAGAGAGAGAGAGAAAUGUUCCAGUCAGGAAUUUUAAAGUACGGAAAAAUACGGAAAACUUUUAAAAUCGCAUGAUUUUAAAGGUUUAAAACUGUAAGCCUUUAAAAUCGUGUGGUUUUAAAGAUUUUCUUGACUUUCUCGUACUUUAAAAUCACUGACCAGAAUAUAUAUAUAUAUAGUCCUUUUCUAGUGCAGACGCCCUCAUUUAUUUGCCCUCAUUUAUUUUUCAUGGGGACAAACUUUAAAACCACAAGGUUUAAGAGAGUUAGUUUUUAACUCUUUAAAACCAUACAGUUUUUAAAAAAAUACAGACGUCUGCACCUAAAAAUAAUUAUAUAUAUAUAUAUAUAUAUAUGUGUGUGUGUGUGUGUUAAUUAUAUGCUACACUUUAACAUACAAAUUUUGUUACUUUAAAUUGUAACUAUGUCAAUCUUUUCUUUAAUGGCAAAUUGUAUGUUGAAAAGGUCAAAUUUAUCCGUGCACCUUUUCUAUCAAUGUUUUAAUGACGACAGUGAAAUUGGGUCAACAAAGUUAGUACCAGGGACAAAGAUUUUUAAUUCUCUCCGUGAGUUUUAUGGGUAAAACAUUCUAACAAACAAUUUUUAUGGCGUCGUCUUUGUCAAUAAAGCGAACCAAAGCAUGCCGAUAAAGCAAAGAAGAUCAUGAUUGGAUUGAAAGAUUCCAAAAUCAUAUUAGUUCCAAUAGCACCUAUUCGAAGAUAGCCCAAAUACUGAUUUUAAACAUCAUUGUUUCAAUGGAAAAUGCUAACUGUUGUGGUUUUAUCACAAUAUAAAACAUUGACAAAGCACUGAUAAUACGUAUGCAUGGAGACUUAAAAGAUGUAUACAUAACAUGAGUAGAGAUUAACAACAGCAAAAGGAUCACAGGCGGUGUUAUUUUUAUUCUGUAAUAGAGAUAAAAGGUUACUAGCCUGGUCUAUUAUUUAGAAUGAUACAGCUAAGUUCAUUCAUUACGCGGUCAUUGAUAUUGCUUCAGCAGCUUCAAAAAACCUUGAUAUUGCGUUAGCAGCUUGAAGUAGCCUUGAGCUUUCCUCUGAUGGAAAAAACAGAACAUUCAAAGCCGGUUCAUGAUCACCAACUAGAAGCAGACGUCGAACGCCAUCCUUAGUUGAAACGCCAAUUUUGUUGCAGCGUCUAGGACAAGAUAGACAGACACUCGGACAAUGGACAAUAUUGUAUACACCACCAUAUGAAAAAUUUCCAGCUUUCUCAAUCUUAAACCAAUUUAGCAACGUUUCAGCUCCUGGGUGGCCCUCACUUCCGCCGGUUACAAUUAAUGGAUCGUCAUAGCUAUCAACUUUCCACAAUGGUUCUUCAUUACAGGGCUUAACAGAAACUUUUACGGGGAAUCUCAGGUUGACAUCAGUGGAUACCUUGACAAUUUUGUAAUUGUCGUACGGAAGUAAUCUUAAAUUAUCUCCCCUUUCGCUAGGAGAACUUAAUUGGAUAACGUCCAAGGGACACUGUCCAUUUGUGCCUAGGUGUGUGCUGAAUCCACCGGCGCCAUCUAGGACUGGGAUAAGUUUAUACUCGAGGGUGGAUUUGACCUUGUUGCCAAUGAUAUCUAAGACAGGUUCAGAGUUUGAUGAGAUGCCCAAUAGAGGCUGCGUGGCCAAGGUAAGGAUAAGGAAGGAGAGUGUUGUUAUCAAUGAAGUCUUCAUUUUUUUGCCACUGGAAGGCUGGCUGCUGUUUGUUGUGUUGAUUCGUUGUUCAAGAGUUUGAAUUUAUAGAGAGCUAGAGCUUAGUAUGUGAUAAGUUCUUUGUGUUGGAUCAUUAAUCUAAUGUUGGGCUUAUAUGUGAAUAUUUAUGUGUUGUGGAUUUUCACAUAAGGUUAAACUCAAUUAAAAGUGAUCUAUUAAUAUUUUUAGUAAUUUGGACUUUAAUGCAUCUGAUAGUGUGGGCUUUUAAUAUAUACAGACCUAAGGGUAAUUUUUAUUUCUAUUAUGAGUUGAAAUAGGAAUACUUAAUGAUAACAAAAAAAAUUAUCUAUAUAAGUGGUUAUAGUCCCCAUGUCACAUGUAUCAUUCUAUUCUCUACUAGCAUUCCAUCAUCAGAGAGAGUGCAAUGAAAAAGUUAAAGGAUUCUCGACCUAGAAGGCUAAUCACACGACCCUAGAGAGUAAUUAAACAUUAUGUAUUCAGGUACGAUUUCGUAAAUUCAUUUAUUGAUUUUUGGUGAUACAACAUGAAUGUUCCUGGAAUUUUGGGGAUGAUUUUUUUACAAAAAGAUUUAAGGUUCUAACAAGUGGCAUCAAAACCUCUUCAUGUUGAAUUAUUGAAAAUCGAAUUUAUUUUCAAUUAGUAAUUGAAUCUUUAGUAUUUUCAAAUUUAAUAAUUUUGGUAUUAUUGAGUUUUAAAACAACUGUGGUUGUUUUUUAAGGAUUAAUAAAAACAAUUUGGGUUAAUUAACAAAAAGGAUUUGAGAUCAAGGCCGGCGGCAGUCACUUCCAUCCCCAGUAACACCCUCACAGGCCUCGGUAUUCCAGGCUGCGACGAGAAGGAAAUGUCGCGGUACACAUGAAAAGCGGCAACCAUGGCCAUCGCAUCAAGAAUCAAAAAAAGAAAAAAAAGAAAAGAAAUAGCCAACGAGCCACAGAAAGCAAAGCCGUGGCCACUAGGCUGUGGCGCAGUUGCAAUUUCUAAAUUCAAAAAUUGAUAUGUUUAUUAAUAAUUUGAGGUGGCCUAAUUGAAGCAGCAUGUCGCCAUAGUAACUUCUUUUGCGGAAAUUAAUUUGUUUAAUAACAUAACCGAUUAUGUGCAUCUAAUUUCUGGGAAUGUUAGUCUGCCUAAAAUAAAGUUUAUAUUUAACAAAAUCGCCUUUGCAUAUAUGGUAAUAAAUGCGUGAUAAUUAUUUAGUUUUACAUGUGAAUAAAAUUAUUUGGUUUUACAUGUGCAUAAUAAAUCAGCCAAAACAAUGAUUUAUUAGGGGAAAUUAAUUUGUUUUUUAAUAUAAACGGUUGUGUGUAUGUAAUUUUUUUGAAUAUCAAUCGACCUAAAGAAAGGUCCAUGUAUAACAGAGUCACAUGUGCAUUUAUGGUAAUAAACAUGUGAUAAUUAUUUAGUUUUCCAUGUGAAUAAUAAAUCGACCUAAAGGAAGAUUUAUUAUCUGACAUGUUCUUAUUAUCAAUGAUUGAUUACUACACCAAGAUAUCACUUACAUCUUAAUAUUUUGUCUAAAGACGAAGUACGAAUAGAGUGUCCGAUAUCGUGACAUGUGGUAUACCUUUAUUUCAAUUUAUAUAUUCUAUUUUAAGACUUAUAUGAGCUUGUUUUAUUUGUUUGUUGUUCUCUAUUCAGUUAUUACUCUUGCUAAUAUUACUGCAAACAUUAAUUCUAUUCUUAUGCUAAAUGGCUCUAAUUUAAAGUCAUGUCAAGAGAACCUCUUAAUAGUUCUUGCCAUUAUGGAUUUUAUCUUUGCGUUAAGAGCUAAUUCUCUCGUACCUCUUAAUAGUUCUCACAGUCAAAUCGCAUAUGUAUGAUUAUCACGAAGAAGGCCAUUCUGGAAGCGAUCAAGGGCUCAAUAUCUAAAAAGAUGAUUAUGACAUUGGAAAAUGGUUUGUGAAGAACGAAAAGGCUGAAAUAGGUAUGCUUUUGACAACUUCAAUUUCAACAAUGUAUAUGAGCAAAGGAAAGAAAAUAAAAAAAGAUAAGGAAACUGCAAAUAAAACAUAUCAAAAGAAACAACAAAAAACCUGACUAAUCUAAAAGGUACUAGUUGUUUACUCGACGAACUUGAAGGGCAUAAGAAAAAGCAUUGUGCCAAUUAUCAAGCAUGGUGUGCAAAGAAGGGUAUGCUUCUUAAUUUGGUUUGUUCUAAAAUUAAUUUAACUUCAGUACCUAGACACACAUGGUGGAUAGAUUCUAGUGCAAUAACUUACAUUAGUGUGUCUAGCCAGGGUUGCCUGAAUUGUCGAAACCCCAGUGAUGGUAAAAUAUACAUCUAUGUGUGCGAUGGCAAGACGGUUGGAGUGAAAGCAAUAGGAAAAUCUAUAUUAUUAUUAAAGACUGGAUUUUAUUUCAAUCGUGAAAGACAUUAUUCCGUAUUUUAGAUAGAAUUUGAUUUCCAUUUCUGCUUUGGACAAGUUUGGUUUAUCUUCUUUAUUAGGGAAUGAAAAAUUCAGUUUGUUUCAUGAAUCAAAAUUAGUUAGUUUUGAUUUUUUAUCAGCCUAUGAUUAUCUCUAUUUGAUUGAUCUGAUUGCUUUAUUUAAUGAAUCCCUGAAGUCGAGAACAAACUCAGCAAAAGAAUCAAAAGUAUUAGAUAUGACUUUGGUGAUGAGUACUAUGGCAGAUAUGACAGUUCAAAUGAAUAACAUUCAGGACCGUUUACUAAGGACGAAACAAGAGGCUUAAAGACAUGGGAAGGAGUACAAUUUCUCAUUCUAUUUUACUGGAAUUACUAUGGGGAGAAGUAUUUAAGACUACAGUAUAUAUCCUUAAUAGGGUUCCAACUACAACCACUACUAAAACCCAUUAUUGACUGUCAAUAGGUAAUAAGCCUAGUCUCAAGCAUUUGUAUGUUUAAGGAUAUCCAACUGAGGCAAGGCCUUAUAAACCUAAUGAAAAGAAACUAGAUUCAAGGACAAUAAGUUACUAGGCUAAAUGGUACAAGUCAAUUUUUUUAGUCAGGACAUACCUAAUUCUUUGAGGAUGUCGAGUUUGUAGCUGGAAAUAAAACUAGAAAUUUUUGUCUUUGAAAAGGAAUAUAUUAAUAUUCCCGUAGGUGUUUUUGGCAUUGACUAGGGCUUCAUUUGUGGCUUUGUUCAUGACACAACAAAUCUAAACAAUAUCGAAGAACCCUUGUACAUUUAUAGAGGAACAAACUCUACCACCUGAAGCACUUAUGUCAUUAAGGAGAUCCAUUAAAGAAAGAAAAAGUACAACGCCAAAUGACUAUAUUGUAUUUCUGUAAGAACAUGAAGUGGAUAUCGGGGUAAUGGAAGAUGAUCCAAUUAAUUUCUAUUAGGCCAUGCAAUGUUUUAACUCUCAAAAGUGGAUUGAUGCCAUGAAUAAAGAGAUGAAGUCCAUGAAGGACAAUGACAUAUGCGAUCUUGUCUCAUUGAUAGAAGGUACGAAACCUAUUGGUUGCAAAUGGAUAUUUAAGACUAAAAGGGAUUCAAAAGGCGUAUAAAAAGUUCCAAGGCAUGUCUUAUCGUAAACAACUUUAUAAAGAAAGAAGACAUUGAUUAUAAAGAGAAUUUCUCUCUAGUUUCUUCGGAAGACUUUUUCAAGAUCACAUUGGUAUUGGUAUUGCAUUUUAAUCUUGAGUUAUAUAAUGGAUAUGAAUACAAAACUUCUCAAUGGUGGCAUUGAUGAGAUAAUCUAAUGGUGUAGCCAAAAAAAUUUGUGCCAAGAGAUCUAAAGAAUAUAGUUUGCAGACUUAAAAAAUCUAUUUAUGGGCUCAAGAAAGCAUCUCGGCAAUGGUAUUUUAAAUUUCAUCAAGUGAUUAUCUUAAUUAGUUUUGAGAUGAAUCUAGUUGUUGAUUGCAUAUACCAUAAGUUCUGUAGGAGCAAGCAUAUAUUUUUGGUUUUAUAUAUAUGUCGAUGGCAUUUUGUUGUUAGCAAUGAUUUAAAGUUAUUGCAUGACACUAAGAGAUUUCUAUCUAAGAAUUUUAAGAUGAAAAAUUGUUGUACUUUUUCUAAUGCUAUUGGUGUUAAUAUGCAAGUUUACACAACAAGUAAUAUAAUGAUAAGUAUUCGAGAUCGUCUCCACAAGGAUUGAUGUUGUAUGAGUUGCUACAGCAAUCUUAACAGUACAAUUUUGUUCUAAACUAAAUUAAGACAAUUUAUGAAACUAAUGAAUCUAAUUAAAAUAAAAUGCUAAAAAAUAAAAAUGCAAUAAAUAAACUCUCACAUCAAACACAAGGAUAUAACCAAUGAGAAUGGAGUAGUUGAAUAAUUAAACUCACUUAAUGGUUUUUGAUUAUUUUUCUAACCGUCGCUUGUUGGAUAUCUUAUACCUUAAUGUAACUUAACAGUGACAAAUUGUUUUGCUAACAUAAGAUAUAUCAUUUCACAUUUAGAUUCUAUUUACCCUACAAGGUGAAUCCUUAUGCCUAGUUCAUCACUAAUUUUAGAUCAAGCAUGGCCUUUUUGGAUUCAAGUUAAACUCAACUCAGGAAACCCAAUCUAAAACUAAGUAUUGCUAUGAUAUGUUGCACUAAGAUAGGCCAUUUUGUGGCUCUUUCUUAGUUUAUACCAUUAGAUGGGUGGUCAGCCGAAAUAGUGAAUUAAAAUAAGUAUUAUCAAAACAACAUGCUAUAACAAACAUGCAGUAAUACAUAUAUUCAGUCAAUUAACCAUCAAGAUUGUUUAUCACUCAACCACAAAUAAAUUUAGUUCAUGAUUUGUAAGAGAGAAAUAAAUAAAAGACUUUCAACCAUCAAAUACAUCCCCAUGAUUAAAGAGUAAACAAGAAAACAAGAAAACAAGAAAAAAAAAAGGACUGAUUUCCCUAUUGAUCUCUGCAAUUUCUCCUCUGAUGUAGCCCUAAAUCUUGCUCUUGAAUUCUAUUUUUCUCUUGUUUCUUUUCGGUUUUUCUUUUUUGUUGAUGGCUCUCCUCUUUCUUUGUGUGUGUGUCUCUUUUAUAACUUAUAACUAGGGCAACCAGAAGUCUAGGGUGCCUAUCUUCUAGAUUUAAAAACUCCAUAUCACAAUCUUCUAAGUAUCUUGCACGAAAUUUUCUCUGUCAAUGUUUCAGGAUUGCUACAAAAUGGCUACAAUAUCUGCACUAUUCCAAACUUGCUCCAAUUCUUCUGUAGCCAUGCUUUUUCCUUAUUUUUGCAAACCUAUUGCAACAACAUUCCUCCCUUAAAAUUUGAGCUUCCAAUCACCUACAAUUAUGCACACAAUCUAAGCACACAAAUUAUUCUAAAAUAACAUAAUUUAUUAAAAAUAAACUAAAAUGCAAUAAAAACAUGACAUUUACUCUAUAAGUAAUAUUGAUUUAAAUCCAAAAGUGCCUUGAUAAAUCUCCUCUCAUAGAGAGUUAUCACACCCCCACACUUAAACCAUUACUUGUGCUCAAGUAAUGACAACAACAUUAACACUUCAAUCACACAAUCAUGCAACAAAUAACUUAGCUUUGUCAUUAAAUUUGAAAGGAUUCUUCAUCCCUCAGAUCAAGUGUUUAAUCAUGCUCAAUUGCCAUAGCAGUUCAGUUCUAAACUUAGGCCUUAUUUUGUCCAGAUUGUGUGUUUGCCACUUUGAUCAAGCCUAGAGGUGCUGCAACAUUACACGUACAUUAUAUAAUUUAGAGGUAGAACACAAAUAUAUUCACAUAUGGGGGACCAUAAGUCACAAAUAAACUUAAACUGUACUACAACAAAAUAAUUUUUUUUAAUUCUCUUUAAUGUUUCAUUGAUUUUUCAUGUGAAUGUCUAUCACUUGUGGUGAUGACACUCAAUUCCUCAACCAAUGCACAAAUCAGAGUUGUUGCAGCAAUGCUCAUAAUAUUAUUCUUAUCUACAGACACAUUUAACUCAAGGCUGAAUAUGGGGUUCAUGAAUAGACCUGACUACUCAAUAUCCUAGACAGAGGACCUUCUAUUUUUUUUAGGACUUAUAUGUGCUUGUAUUGUCUGUUUGUUACUCUUUGAUUUAGCUAUGACUCUUGUAAAUAUUACUACUAAUAUCAAUUCUAUUUCUAUGCUAAAUGACACUAACUUCAAGUCAUUACAAGAGAACAUCUUAAUCGUUCUCACAGUCAUGGAUCCUAACUUCGCAUUAAGGGUUGAUUACCCCCACUUUUUACGGAUAAGAGUACUUCUAAUGACAAAAAAGAUUUGGAAAGGUGGGAGAAAUCAAAUCUCAUGUGUAUAAUGAUUAUUAAGAAAGCCACUCUAGAAGCAUUCAGGGUCUUAAUGUCUAAAAAGAUAACUAUGACUAAGGAGUUUCUUGCGGACAUUGAAAAAGGGUUUGUUAAGAAUGAAAUGCAGAAAUAGGUACGCUCUUAACAAGUCUCAUUUCAAUGAGGUAUAUAAGUAGCGGUAAUAUCAGAUAGUACAUUAUAGAGAUGUCUCAUCUUACUUCUAAGUUGAGAGCACUUGAACUUGAACUCUUUAUGGACAUGUUAGUGCAUUUGGUUUUAAUAUCCUUACCAACACAUUUUAACUAGUUUUAAGGUAAGCUACAACUGGUAAAAAGAGACUUGGUCUCUAAAUGAGCUCAUAUCAAACUAUGUUUAGGAAGACAAAAAAUGCUCACUUGGCCUCUACCUUUACGGGCAAGUACAUGGGAAAAGAAAAAAAAAAGAAGGAUAAAGAAGCUACAGAUAAAGAACCUCAAAAGAGAUGACUAAAAAGAAAAAAAAAAGGAUAAUCUGGAAGGUAGUAAUUGUUUCUUUUGUAGAGUUGGAGGGCAUAAGAAGAAUCAUUAUACUAGCUAUCAUGCAUGGCCUGCUAAGAAAGGUGUACUCCUUAAUUUGAUUUGUUCUGAGGAUACAUUAACUUCAGUACCUAGAUACACAUGGUGGAUAGAUUCUAGUGAAACAACUCACACUAGGGUGUCUAUGCAAGGUUGCCUAAAUUGCCAAAAGCCUAGUAAUGGUGAAAGAUAUGUCAACGUGGCAAUGGCAAGACGAUUAAAGUUAAAGCAAUUAGAAAAUUUAUAUUACUAUUAAAGAUUAGAUUUAAUUUGGAUCUUGAUAAAACAUUUAUUGUUCUAUAUUAACUUGAUUUUUAUUCCUGUUUGGAAAAUAUAUUUAUUUUUCAUUUGGGAAUAGAAAAUUGAGUUUCUUUCAUAAUUCAAAAUUUUUUGGACCCAGUUCUUUGUCAGGUUAUGACAAUAUUUAUUUAGAUGAUACGACUGCUUUAUUUUAUGAAUCCUUAUAAUUAAGUACAUGAGGUAUAAAGAGAAAAUUACCAAUGAGAAUUUGGCUAUGUUAUGACGUAAGAGAUUAGGUCACAUUUUUAGACAGAGAAUAGGGAGACGUGUGUCAGAUUAACCCCUUAGAUUUACAAAUUUUGAUGUUUGUGCUAAUUGUACAAAGGGGAAAGAAACCAAUCAAAGGAGAUUUGAAGCCAACAUGACUUUAGAAGUCAAAGAACCUAUACAUACAAAUAUUUGUGGGCCAUUUACGUAGCAGCUUAAAAUGGGUAACAAUGUUUUAUGACGUUCACCCUCUAUAAAAAAUCACAGUCAUUGGAUAUGUUAAAAAAUUUUAAGGUUAGUUGAAAACCAACUCUGCAAAAGAAUAAAAAAAGUGUCAGAUCUCACUAUGGUAGAUAUAAUAGUUUCAGGGAACAACAUUCAGGAUAAUUUACUAAAUUCCUAGAGGAAUACAGUAUCGUCCCACAAUACACCAUGUUGGGUUUGCCAACUAUGAAUGGUGUUGUUGAAAGAUGAAAUAAGAUGUUUGCAAUAAGUUUCCAACUAAAGUGACUACCAAAAUAACCUUAGUGACUACUAAAGUGACUACCAACUAAGGCAUGGCUUUAUAGGCCUAAUAAAAAUAAACUAGACUCAAGGACGGUGAGUUGUUAUUUUAUUGAAUACUUUGAACAAACUAGGGGGUACAAGUUUUAUGAUCCCACGACUAAGCCAGUAUUCAAGUCAUAAAAUACUUGGUUUUUUGAAGAUGUAGCGUUCACGGGGGAGAUACAGCUAGAAACUUUGUCUUUCAAGAAAAAUAUGUUGAUAUUCCUACCAUUGUUAUUGGUAUUGAUCAAGAUCUCAUUCUUGACCUUGUUAAAGGCACAACAGAUUAAAACGAUGUUGAAGAGCCCUUAUACAAGAAAUUUUUCUAGAAUAACAAUCUCUACUACUUCAAUAACCUAUGCCAUUAAGUUCACUAGAGAAACUAGAAGUAUAAUGUCAAAUGACUACAUUGCAUUUCUUCAAGAUUAUGAAGUGGACAUUGAAGUGAUGGAAGAUGAUCAAAUCAAUUUCCAUCAAGCAAUGCAAAGUUCUAACUCCCAAAAGUCGUUUGUUGCCAUGAAUGAAGAGAUGAAAUCUAUGAAAGACAAUGACAUGAUAAAUUUUCUCAUUGCUAGGAGAUGGAAAACCCAUUGGUUGCAAAUGGAUAUAAAGAGACUUUCUCUCUAGUUUCCUUGAAAGACUAUUUUAGGAUCAUAAUAACAUUGGUGGCGCAUUUCAAUCUUGAGUUACAUCAUAUGGAUGUGAAUACAACGUUUCUCAUGGUGACAUUAAUGAGAUGAUAUAUAUGGUAUAGUGAAAAUACUUUUUGUCCAGAGACCUAAAGAAUAUGUUUGCAAACUUGAAAAAUCCAUCCAUAGACUCAAGCAAGCAUCUCGACAAUGGUAUUUCAAGUUUUAUCAAGUGAUCAUCUCUUUCAAUUUUGAGAUGAAUUUGGUCGAUGAUUUUAGUGGAUGCCAAGAUAGUAUGAAAUCUACUUCGUGUAAUAUUUAUCUACUAGCUGAAGGUGUUGUCUCUUAGAAGAGUACUAAACACUCUAUUAUAGCGUCUUCUAUGAUGGCAGCACAUAUUAUAGUAUAUUAUGAGGCAACCAAUCAUAAAAUAUGGAUGCUAAAUUUUGUCAUGGGCUUGUGCAUAGUAGAUGGUAUUGAUAAACUACUCAAGUUAUUUUGUAACAAUAAAUCAGCAGUGUUGUAUUCUAAUAACAAUAGGAAUUCGACGAAGUCAAAGCAUGUAGAGAUUAAAUUCCUAGUUGUUAAAGAGUUCAAAGUGGACAAUUUUCUAUAGAGUACAUCGGCAUAAACUCCAUGAUUGUGAAUCCACUUACUAAGGGAUUACCACCUAAAAUGUUUUAUCAUCAUGUUGCUCAUUUAAGUGUCAUGUUAUUAAAGGAUAUUCAAUUUUAGUAGGUGUUUAUGGUUUUAGACGCUCUUAUGAUAUGCAUAAUUUUCAAUUAUUUGAGGUUAUUUUCUGCAGAAAUAAAGUUUUGCUUUAUUCAGACUUUGAUUUCGGUAUGAUUUGAUCUCAUUAAGGUUUAAGGUGGACUAAUUAGAAAUAGUUAUGUUAAAAUUAUAUUGCAUGAAAUUUCCAUACUAAACAUCCACAUCAUGAUCCAUGUCAUUCAAUUAUAUUGGCAUAAUGAAUAUUGAUGGGUUAAUUUAUGACAACUGCGACAAAGGCCACUUUGACCCUAUGUUAGUACGAUUAAUGGAAUAGAUUGGUUACACAUACAUUUCGGUAAUGAUAGUAAAGUUGAGUUUAUACAGUUAUUUUUGCCAAGCAUGGUUAUAAGGUUCACAUAUAGCCCAAGUAGCAGACUGUUGAAUCCUUAGUCCAACAUUGGCUUUAUAUAUGAAUAAAUAUAUGUUACAAAUUAUCUUAUAAGGUUAAGCCUAAUUAAAAGUAAUCCAUUAAGGUUUUUGGUAAUUUGGGUUUUAAUGUAUAUGAUAGGGUGUAGACCCUUAAUGCGUAGAGAUUUAAGGUUAAUUUCUAUUCCUAUGAUUUGUUGAAAUAGGAAUGCCUAUUGAAAUCUGGAAAGUAUAAAUAUUUAUGGUCCUUAGGUCACACGUAACAUUCUAUUCUCUUCUGACAUCUCAUCAUCAAAGAGGGUGUAGGGAGAAAGUUCAAGGAUUCUCUAAGAUAACAUGUUGAUCUAGAAGACUAACCACACAAAUCUAGAGAGUAAUUAAGCAUUAUGGAUUCAAGUGCGCUUCUGCAUAUUCGACAGGUAUUGCAUAUGACUAGCGAUUAUCAAUAGCAUGAGGCUGAUGAUCUACAUUGGUGCAAGGCCCUACUGCAUUUAACGAGAUCUACAUGUGAUGGUGAUGCGCGACUAUUAGCUUUGCAUAUGAUAGUGAUAGUGAUGGGAUCAAUCAUGGCUCUGCGUGCGAUGGUGAUCAAAUCGAACAUGGAUGCUACGUUCAAUGACCCGUGCUGGAUCAUUUUUUUAAUUGAGGGCAAAAUGGGGUUUACAAAUUUUUUGGGGGGCAAAAUUGGAACUCCUAGGAAUCCGCAUUCCCCAUAUCCAAAUUGGGGUGGGCCUUACGAUUCCAUUUUCGAUUCCUACUCUUAUUUUUUAAAGUAAACAUUGUCAAUGAUUCCGGUUCUAGAUUCUGAUUUCCCAAUCUGGGAAGUAAACACUCCCUGAAUGUAAAAUAAAACAUCAAUUAAGUAAAUGAAACAUAGGACUUAUAAAUAGAAAAUAAACAACAAAUUGACAUAAAAGUGGUAAAUUGGAUAUUGGCAAAAAGAACAAAAGCUUAUGAAUAUAAAAUAAAACUUAUAAAUAAAUAUUAAGUGUAAAAUAAAACAUAAAUUAUGUGAAUAAAACAUAAGACUUGUUAAUAGAAGGUGAAACAAGUAAAUUAAUAUAAUAAUUAUUAAAAAAAUAAAACUUACAAUUGUAAAAUAAGAACUCAUUAUAAUAAUGAUUACCUUAGAUAUUUGUUUAUUUUGCUUCUAAAUUGAAUAAUAAAAGUUAUGAGUUUUUAUAAUAUAUGUGGUGAUAUAUGUAAAAUUUUAUUAGGAUAAAACUUAUUCUCAAAAUUAGAUGUUGAAAAAAAUAAACUUUUUAUAUUUUUCAAAGCUAUUUGUAUCCUUCUAAAUCUCCUUGAUGGCAACCCCAAAUGAUUUUUUAGUACAUGUAAGAAGUAAAGUUUAAAACUACAUGAAGUAUGUGUAAAAUAGAAGAUUAUAUCUAAUUUUAUUUAUAUAUUAUAUAGGUCCAGUAAUUUAAGAAUAUUCUUUUAUUUUGUUUUGGCUUGACCCAUAUUAAGAAAAAUAAUUUUGUUUAAUUUACCUGUGUAGUAAACAAUACUAUCAUUAAAAAAAAAUUAUGAAUGUCAUAGAAUGAGUAUAAAAUUUGUGGUUAAACCAAUUCAAUAAAACUUAUUCCAAUUGUUUACAAUACAAUUAUUUUUUUUAAUCGAUGAGUGUAAACUAUUUUCUUAAAAUGAAAGUUUAAUAUUGAUUUACAGUUUUAUUUUAUUUUUAUAAUUUUUUUAAUAAUGCUAAAACAUAUAGGUGAACAUUCAAUGAACAUUGACUAAUAUGCAAGAUUUAAGAUAUUUUGAUUAUUUAAGAUAUUUAGAUUAAGAAACAAGUGUGAUAAAGACAAGUCACAAUAGAAAAGAAUAGAAUAUUUCAUGUAAUUUACUUUUUAUUCAGAGUUUGGUCUUCUUUGGCAAUACCCUUAAAAACAAUUAUUCAUUUCCUCUUUAAGAGGGCUCGGUUUGUUGCUGCUUGUUUUAUUAAGAAUUUCUUUCCUUCCCUUGGAUUAGUACUAGAACUUGCAUUAGUAUUAGAACAUGUUCCUCAAAAGACUGGCAUGAAACGAAAUUCUUUCAAAUUCAAACUACUAAUCUAUGUUAGCCAAAUUAGAAACUAGAAAAGAAGAUACUUUGAAUCUUAAUCUUAAAAGUAUCAGAUGAACAGUGUUGGAUGGUUGGUGCUGGAUGAAUAAUAUCAUAAAGAGUAUUGGAUGAACAAUACUAGUUAAUAGUAACCUGAACAGUACCACCAACAAUUAUUCGUGUUUUGGACUUUCAAAGAACCAAUAUUGACUCAUAAUUUGAACAACCUCAGUCGGCUUAAUAGAUAAAGGCUAACUCUGAUGGCAUGUGUCGUCGGAAUCCAGGUAUGGCUGUUUGUUGUGGGAUCCUUUGUAGUAGUCAUGGGGGUAUGUUAGGCUUCUUUUUUUCUUUGUGCCUUUUAAGGAUACAAUCCGCUUCUUAUGUCGAGAUCAUGGUUGUUAUUUUAAUCGUUCAGCUUGUUUAUGAGAGAGGAUGAUUGAAUCUCUAGAUCGAAAGUGAUUGCUUACAAUUGUUAAUCUCCGUAAUGGCCAUCUUCUUUCCCCUAGGACUUUGCUUAAUCAUUAGAAAAUUUAUUUACUAUUAAUAGAGUAAAGGAGGGGACUGCCAUUCUCACAUUGGAAAUAAUUGUACAUAGGCCGUCUUCUUCCUCAUUAAAUGCGAGUGAAGCAGAAAUUUCUUGAAAAUUAGUGAGGUAGAAAAUUUAUAUUGUAUUUUAUAGGGUUAAUGUCGAUUAGUCCUAAUAGUUGUAUGGUUGUAAUAUCAAUAUUAAAAAAAAUUAAGGCUUGCCUUACUCAUAUUUUUAGAGAGGGAAACGAUGUAGCAGACAAGUUGGCCAAUUUUGAUGUUUGUACUUCUUCUUUUAUUUGGUGGUCGAAACCUAAAGUUUUGCCUUUACUCCUUAAAACUCACAUUAUCUCCCUAUUUAUUGAUUCAAGUGGUAAUUGAUGCAAUUACAUCUUUGCAAGCAUUUUCCUCUAUAUUUUUACUUAUAUAUAUAUUCAUGUAUUUUAUUGAAUUUUUGUAUUAGCUUCUUUUGAGGUAAGGCUCAUUAUAUCCCUUUUUAGGUGUAAUGAUAGAAUGGGGCAAUGGAAGUGAAUUGAUAGGGUAAUUAUAGUACCGAACCAAGCCAAUGCAAUUAGCCUAUGCUUUAAUUGAAACAUGAUUAGAUCUUGUUCUAAUCCAAAUGACUCAAUAAGAUUUUUAACAAUGCUUUAGGUGAGAUUAGAUAAUGCUCUAAUUCAAAAGACUCUACAAGAGAGAUUCAUUAUAGAUAAUCCCAAAGAAAAUUAUAAAGAGGGAUAUUUUUAUUAAUAAAAAAAUUAUGAAAAUGAUAACGGGAUUUCCUUAUUUAUAAUAGUGUAAACCUACUUCCUUAAGUUAACUUAAAAAGGAAACUAAAUCACAAUUAUAAUAGAAGUAAAACACUAAAACACUUACCAUAAUUGACUCUAAUUAAAAUAAAAUAUAUCAAAAAGAACUUGAAGGGGAGCAUCACUUCAUCUUAGAGCUUGAACUCAGUAGCCUCGCUAAUCAGCUAUGUUAAAACUCAAAAUUCUCCAUUUUUAUAUUUUUCUUGUGCUUAUGAGUAACCCUUUCAAAAGAUGAAGUCCUAUCCGAACAAAUCACUUUAAGCCUUUUAAGACUUUCCCAAAUCUCGCUUAAUGUUCCCACCAACUAACUUUAUCUUUGCAACCAAAUCUUCUUCAAAAUAACCUUAUUUCUUCAACGUGGAUAGGCAUAAUCAUGUCAAUGAUUGCUAGAGCCUCUUCAACUUGAUUUUGUUGCACAGACUCGAUCUUCUUGUUAGGCUUAAUUUGCAAAUUAACAGUAAGUUGUACUUCUUUGUUAGAAGUUUUAGACAAAUCAACAAUAUUAUCAUCUUCUACUUUCACCGAUGUAAAAAGAAAUGGUUCGACAUUAUCUAAAUGAACAAAAUGGUCUUCUAUCAAUUGUCUUGUAUCAAACUAUUCUUUGAUUUCAUCUAGUCCAUGUCGAAUCCUUGAUUCUUGCAAUUGUUCCCACCAAUCAAGCACAGGGGCGGAUGCAGCACAUGACCAGUAGGGGCUCAAGCCCCCACUGGCAAAAAAAAAAUAAAUUUAAAAAUAAAAGAAAAAAAUAUUUUAAUUUUUUAAAUAGCCCCCAAUAAAUUUAUUAAAAUAAUCACUAUAAAAUAUGAACUCCCAUAAAAUUUAAACUUUGACUUUUAAGAAAUAUAAAAACUUAUAUUUUAAUUAAAAAUAAUGAUAGCCCACCACCCAAAAUAUUUUUUAUUUUAAAAAAUAUGGUUAAUUCUUCCAAUUUAUAUAAUAAUUAUAGAACGAACAUUUUUAGUAAUAAAACUCAUGAAAAAUCAUUUUUGGAAUCAGAUGUGAUAAGUAAUAGUUUGAUUGUUUAUAUGGGAAACAAUAAAUUUAAUAAUAUUGAUAAUGAGUCUAUUGCAUAACAUUUUUAAAAUAAAAAAAUGCGUAGAGAUUAAUUAUAAAUGUAUUAGUAAAUAUUUUAUAUAUUCAAAAUUUUAAUUUUUUUAUAUUUACUAUUAUCUAAUUUAGCUCCCGAUAAAUUAUUUUUCUAGAUCCGCCACUGAUCAAGCAUCACCUGUCAACUUAAAUGAUGCAUAAGAGAUAACAACAUUCAAAGAGAUAUUUUGAAGAAAAUCGUCCAUUGUCCAUAUCCAGUCAAAAAUAUCAUCAAAAUUACCAAUAAAAUUUAGGAUAACUUCAAAUUCGAGGAGACAAUAUGAACUUUGAUAAUCCAUCUUUAUCAUUUUUUCCUUAAAUUAAAAAUAUAAACAAUGGCAAAAUUGUAAGUAAGGCUUAACUCUCGUGUUUGGUAUUGCCCGCGGUUGGUGGUCGUGAUUGGGACCGGAGGGUGUUGGAUCUGCAAGAUAUGGUGGCUGGGAGCAUGCUGAUGUCACUGGUGACAAUCAACUCGCGGUGGCAGAGGUGUAUCAAAAUGCUAAAUUUGUGCUACAAGUUUGGUUCGGUUGCAACAAUUCUGGCUACUAAUCAAACCAAGUGGUAAAUGGGAUUUGAUUAGCGAGACUUACUAAUUUUGGUGGUGACUUGGUUCAACAGUGGUAAAGUUGAAAAUGGCGGGGGGUGAGUGGUGGAGCUUGCAAGUUUUGGUUGUUCACACAGUUGCUACACGACUGAUCAAAGGCAGAGGUUGGUCAGGUUUGGUUGUUGGUUGAUAUUGAUUCUGGUGGAGGGUUGAACGACAGCAGAGCCCAAAGGAAUGGUUGCUGAGCUGGCAGCAGCAGUGGCUAGGUUUGAUUUGGGGAAUUUUCUGAUUUUUUUUCUUAUUUUUUCAGUGGUGGAUUCAAAGGGAUGGAUGUGGGUUGCCUGGAAAGAUGUCCAAUUAGCACAGAAUUGGCCUGAUACCCACUGACUGAGUGGAGUACUGGUAGUGAAUUGAUAGUGCAGGAAACGCUAAAUAUCAUUCUUGCACCGAACCAAAUCAAACGUCAUUAGUUUACGCUCUAAUUGAAGCGUGAUUAGAUAUCGUUCUAAUUCAAACGAAUAAAUGAUAUUUUUAGCAACGCUUUAAGUAAGAUUAGAUGAUGCUCUAAUUUAAAUGACUCUAUAAGAGAGAUUUUUUUAUAGAUAACCCCAAAAGAAAUUAUUAAAGUGGAGUUUUUUUUAUUAAACAAAAUGUUAUGAAAAUAAUAACAAGAUCUCCAUAUUUAUAAUAGAGUAAAUCUACUUCCCUAAGUUAACUUGAAAGAAAACUAAAUUAAAAUUAUAAUAGAAAUAAAAGAUUAAAAUACAUAAUAUAAUUUACUCUAAUUAAAAUAAAAAAUAUUAAAAAAAUCUAAAAUAAUAAAAUUCUGAAAUCCUAAAAUAACUUCCUACAGCACGUAAUUUUUCUUUUUAUAAUUAAUAAAUUUUGCUCAAACCAUCGAGGUUUGUCUUAAUAAAAAUGUUUUUUAGAGUAUAAAUAACUUUACCGUUACUUAGAAUAAAAAUUCUCGGAGCAACCGAACUUUUUUUAAAGCGGAAAUUGGGAAUUGUUUUCCUUCUUUUCUCGAUUUUUUCCCCAUCUUUCAUAAAUUGGCCCACAAUUUGAAUUACAAGGACCAUAUUUUUUCCUUGACAACCAUUUUUCUUUAUACCCAAGGACCUCUAGAGUAUGCAACUUUUAUGGGGGUGCAAUUCAUGUCGCAGAUUGAACCAAGUCUUCUAGUAACUAUUAGGAAAUAUAUCUUAUUUUUUAAUAAAAAUUUCAUAGGAUAUUUUCCCCUUUAGUGAGAUUCUUAUUUAAGAAAUAAAUAAUUUUUCUUUCGAAACUUCACUUAUUUAUGGAGGAACAAAACUACUACAAGAAAAAGAAUACUUCUCCUUCAAGAAGUAAUCAUUAUAUAUAAGGAAUUUAGGAUCAUUUAUUUGUGUAACACAACCAUCAAUUUUCUGUAAGUAGAUAGUUUCUAACUCAAAUGGUAGGUCUAUUGUGAGAUUGAGUAUCAUUAAAACUUUGGGUGUGAGAAAAAUGCUUGAGUGAUUGCAAUAAUUUUUUACAUAUUAAAUUUUUUUAUGUAAAUUUUUCUGUUGAGUGAUUAAUUUUACUCUAUCUAUUUUUUUAUUAUUAUUUAUUUAAUAUUUUUUCUUACAAGAUCUUGGAUGGAAUUAAAAUUCGCUAGAGAUAACUACUGAGAAUAAGACAAUGAAUUUGUACAAUGUGAUUUCAGAAAUUAUUUUUCACGUUGAUACAUUCAAAUGCGAUGUUAAUUGCGAGAAAUGGCCAACACAAUAAUUUUUCUUUUUUGUUUUGAUUUGUUUUAUUUUUCUCCCUUCACAUAACAGCCACUCAAGUCUAUUCCAAAAGUUUCCCCGUAUAAAACAAAAAAGCCAAUAAUGCAAGAUGACAAUUCGUACGUAAUGAUAGAUUGAUAGAUCAGUGUGGCUCCCCGUGAAAAGGAGAUAAUGCUAGAAAAUAUUUUUCACGUUUAUACAAUCACAUGCGAUGUUAAUUGCGAGAAAUGGCCAACACAAUAAUUUUUCUUUUUUGUUUUGAUUUGUUUUAUUUUUCUCCCUUCACAUAACAGCCACUCAAGUCUAUUCCAAAAGUUUCCCCGUAUAAAACAAAAAAGCCAAUAAUGCAGGAUGACAAUUCGUACGUAAUGGUAGAUUGAUAGAUCAGUGUGGCUCCCCGUGAAAAGGAGAUAAUGCUAGAAAAUAUUUUUCACGUUUAUACAAUCACAUGCGAUGUUAAUUGCGAGAAAUGGCCAACACAAUAAUUUUUCUUUUUUGUUUUGAUUUGUUUUAUUUUUCUCCCUUCACAUAACAGCCACUCAAGUCUAUUCCAAAAGUUUCCCCGUAUAAAACAAAAAAGCCAAUAAUGCAAGAUGACAAUUCGUACGUAAUGAUAGAUUGAUAGAUCAGUGUGGCUCCCCGUGAAAAGGAGAUAAUGCUAGCUGUCAGAUGAUUGUGUUUGUGUUUUCUGAAUGCUAAAGGCGCCAUCGGACUCUGUGGUGUAGAUUCACUGAGCUAUUUCAUCAUGCUUUUCUUAUUUCUGUUAUUUACAUUUAAUACGAGAAUUGAUUUGGGUGAGAGCGACUUUAGAGAAUUAUUUGUUUCUAUGAUGGUCCCACACCCAAAAUAUACGCAUCAGCAGUUCAACGUAGAAAUGAUAUUAGCUAAACAAUAUCGGCGGGGGUUGCUAGCCUUUGCAAGAAAGAAUCUCUCUACACGUUACCUAACAGGCUAGAAUAGGGACAGAAUUUUCUUAAUUACAAUCGACUGGGUGUAUUGUGGCGAAUUUUUUGAGUAAUAUAUCUUGAAGUAUCCUUGAAUAUUCCUUGUUAACACCAUUUCGAACACAACUUUGCAAUAAUCCUUACCCGGAAGUCAUGCAUGCUUGAAGUAAUUUGUCCCUCAAAAAUGAAUGUUGUUUUGUCAAAGCAUGCAUGGAUCGUGCUCCUUAAUAAAACUAUAAUGAUAUUACAGUUUUCCACUUUACAAUUUAUCAUGAAUAACAAUAGUUAUUGUUCAAAAUCAUUAAAAUCAACUCUUUGAUUACUGUUAUGAUUAGGCAGCUAUACAUAAAAGGCUACUACAGUAAAAUAUUUGGUAAUCAAUUGUUACUGUGGUGUGGAAACUAAAUUGAUGUUAUACUACACUUGUAUCAUGAAAAAUCUAUAAUAUUUUUUAUAUUUUUGUUAAACUUAUUGUUCAAAAUUAUAUUUAUUACACAUUAUUGACUCUUAUUUCACAACAAUUACAACACUUUAAUAACAAAGGAAGCCUAAAUUUCUAAUAAUUAGAGAAUGUAUGCAAUACCUAUCAGAUAAACUAAAAGACAAUGUAAUAAAAGAAAAAUUGCGAAGGGCUGUGUUUCGGCAAGUUGUUUGUAAGAAGUUCCCAAAGCUGCCAAGUCUAAGAUCUUAGUGGUCUUGUGAGGGCAUGGUUGAUAAACUACUAUUGUAGUUUUCUUCAGGAAGUCCUGUAGCUGUGAGGCUUAUCAUACAACGAAGACCGUGGAUAUUUCCACUAUUUGGGUAGAAGAUAAUAAGCCUAAUGAAUUAACUACGAAGGUAGCCAAUAGUCUAAUAAAUUAAUUAGAGAAUGCAUUUUUCAUGUAAUAAAUGACAUAGUUAUUAUUUACAUCCUUACUAGAUUUUUAAUUACCUUAUUCAUCGGUCCCGUUUAAGAGAUAACACAUAAAGUCAGCAUUUUUUUGUACAUUUACCAUUCACCUUUCUUUAGAAGAUUUUAUGACAUUUCUAAGUAGUUCAGUGCCAAAAUUAAAGAGAAAAUGAAAAUGAUUAGUCUUAUAUAAUUAAUAAAAGAACGCUCGCAAUUUUUUAUUUUUUGCUAAUCCCAAUGACUUAUGUAAUAUUUUAAUUUAAAAUUUUAAAUAUUACACACCUUGAGUUACUGUUUGCCCUUAUUUUAUAAUUAAUUUUGUUAUCUCUUAACGAAAGAGAUAAAACAUAUAAGUAAAAAUCUACUAGGAAUAUAUAAGUGGCAAAUGUUACAUCUUAUCAUUGAUGAAACAUGUAUUCUCUGUAAAUUAAUUAGCAAGAAUUUAUUCAAUAUUAUUUGCAUUAAAUGGACAUGUGUUGCAUAUUUUUGUUGAUUGUCUUGAUGUAUGUUGCUUUGGAUAUGAUAUCCUCGAAGUAUGUGGUAUAGAUAUAUAUUUUGAAAUUAAUAAUUGGUAAAGGCUUUUUAUUUUUUUACUUUUUAAAUCAGAGUGGUAAAGAUUUGAAUAGCCGUGUGUCACUAAUAUUAGUGUUUUAUAUGGCCCUAUUUUUGGCUUGCCUUUGUUUCAAUGGAUACGAUACAUAAUAAUACUUGCUGAUCAUGCUCAUUGUGGUGAUUUUAUGGCAAUGUAUUUGUCUUUCUUCUUAUUUUAAAUAUGUAUACAAAACAUUUAUAAAGCAUUGACAACAUGCAUGCAUGGAGUCUAUAUAACAAUACUUUUAAAAAAUGUACACAUAAUUAGGGUAGAGAUUAAUUAACAGCGAAAGCAUCAUAGGCUAUUUUAUUUAUGCUUAACCAUAGAGAUUAAAGAGUACUAGCCUGGUCCAUUAUUUAGAAUAAUACAGCCUGUUGGCUUAUUCAUUACAGAGACGGAAAUAACAUAGAUCUUCCACUAUCAGCUGGAAAUAACACAACAGGCAAAGGCAGAUUUGGCUGAUCAUUAUCAUCAACCACAACUAGACGUUGGACGCCAUCCACAUUAGAAACGCCAACGUCUUUGCAGAGUGUAUCGCAAGAACCAUUAACAAGUGUUGAACAAUGAACAAUUUUGUAUAGACAGGGAAUGUCUAGUGCUAUUUUCAUAUCAAAUAUUGAUGCACUAACUUUCUCAAGUUUAAAAAAAUUUUGACACGUUUUACCUUCACCGAUUGUUAUAAACUGCUUUCCUAAUGAAGCGUUAUCGUUGUCAACUUUCCACAACGAAUCUUUGUUACACUGCUGAAGAGAAGAAACUCUUGAGAAUUUCAAUUUAAUAUUAGUGGAUUCCCGGACAAUUGUGGAAUUGUCAUACGGAAGUAAACCUAAAUUCUUUCCCCUUUUGUCCUUAGGACUUAAUUGGAUAACAUCCGUUGGACACUGUCCAUUUUUGCCUUUGUCCGCGCUAAUUCCACCGCCGGUUUUAACUCCCCAGAGUGCUGAGACAAGAUAAUACCUGUGGCUGGAGUCCACCUGGUUGCCAUAGACAUCUAAGAUAGGUUCAGAUUCUGAGGCGCCCAACUGAGGUUUUGUGGCCAAAGCAAGUAUAAGGAAGGAGAGUGUUGUUACUAAUGAAGUCUUCAUUUGUUUUUUUUUUUUUUUUGAGGAUAGCUGCUGUUUGUUUUGUG
rnacentral:lncRNA from 1 species